GUCGAACGAAGCAUUUAGAACGGAUUACUUCGGUUUGAAGUUCUUUAUGACUGAGUGGCGGACGGGUGAGUAACGCGUGGGUAACCUGCCUUGUACUGGGGGAUAGCAGCUGGAAACGGCUGGUAAUACCGCAUAAGCGCACAAUGUUGCAUGACAUGGUGUGAAAAACUCCGGUGGUAUAAGAUGGACCCGCGUCUGAUUAGCUAGUUGGUGAGAUAACAGCCCACCAAGGCGACGAUCAGUAGCCGACCUGAGAGGGUGACCGGCCACAUUGGGACUGAGACACGGCCCAGACUCCUACGGGAGGCAGCAGUGGGGAAUAUUGCACAAUGGAGGAAACUCUGAUGCAGCGACGCCGCGUGAGUGAAGAAGUAAUUCGUUAUGUAAAGCUCUAUCAGCAGGGAAGAUAGUGGCGGUACCUGACUAAGAAGCUCCGGCUAAAUACGUGCCAGCAGCCGCGGUAAUACGUAUGGAGCAAGCGUUAUCCGGAUUUACUGGGUGUAAAGGGAGUGUAGGUGGCCAUGCAAGUCAGAAGUGAAAAUCCGGGGCUCAACCCCGGAACUGCUUUUGAAACUGUGAGGCUAGAGUGCAGGAGGGGUGAGUGGAAUUCCUAGUGUAGCGGUGAAAUGCGUAGAUAUUAGGAGGAACACCAGUGGCGAAGGCGGCUCACUGGA
rnacentral:rRNA from 1 species